UAUCCCAAGGGGAGUAGACAAAAAAGAAUGGGAAUGGUUAGUAAAGGAACAUUUUACUUCUGAAAGUUUUCAGGCAAGAAGCAUCAGGAAUGCAACAAACCGAUCUAAGUUGAAGAUGCUUCAUCAUAUUGGUAGCAAACCUAUUCGAGAGAUUAUUUAUCAAAAGGGUGGGAAAGAUGGCAAUCCACCAGAUUUGGCGACUAUUUUCUUUGAGACUCGUAAGAAAGCUAACAAGCUUGUUGAACCUGAAGCAAUUGAAAAACAUGCUCAACUUGAGG